rnacentral:rRNA from 1 species
GAAACUUAAAGGAAUUGGCGGGGGAGUACCACAAGGGGUGGAGGCUGCGGUUUAAUUGGAUACAACGCCGGACAACUCACCAGGGAAGACAGCAGAAUGAUGGUCAGUCCGAAGGGCUUACCUGACGCGCUGAGAAGUAGUGCAUGGCCACCGUCAGCUCGUGCCGUGAGGUGUCCUGUUAAGUCAGGCAACGAGCGAGACCCAUACUUCUAGUUGCUAACCCAUUUUUUUGAGUGGGUGCACUCUAGAGGGACUGCCGGCGAUAAGUCGGAGGAAGGAGUGGGCGACGGUAGGUCUGUAUGCUCUGAAUUUCCUGGGCUACACGCGGGCUACAAUGGCCAGGACAAUGGGACGCUACCCCGAGAGGGGGCGCUAAUCUCCUAAACCUGGUCGUAGUUCGGAUUGUGGGCUGAAACUCGCCCACAUGAAGCUGGAUUCGGUAGUAGUCGCGUGUCAGUAGCGCGCGGCGAAUACGUCCCUGCUCCUUGCACACACCGCCCGUCAAAGCACCCGAGUGGGGUCCGGAUGAGGCCAUCGCAAGGUGGUCGAAUCUGGGCUCCGCAAGGGGGCUUAAGUCGUAACAA